GGGGUUGUGGCUCAGCGGUAGAGCGCUUGCCUAGCAAGUGCAAGGCCCUGGGUUCGAUUCUCAGCACCA
rnacentral:tRNA from 1 species